rnacentral:lncRNA from 1 species
AAAAAGCAGAUAAUGGAUCCUAUUUUUAUGAAACACAACUACCCAUUAUCUUUUUUAAUUCUAAAAUAAAUUUACUUAUUUUUUUUAAAAAACCUCUCGCAAGCUCGGAAGCGCGUGCAGAGAAGCUAGUUAGAAGUGAAGAGAACGGUGAUUUGGAUGUUAUAAGUUGAAAGUACAUGCGAUUACGAGUUUGUAAUAUUUUUCGGUCAAUUUUUUAGAGUCCCGGAUGUAUUUUUAAGGAAUUUCUGAAAUUGGUCCAUUUGUCGUGUGCCACGUGGCAGCUGGGGAUUGACCUACUUGAAUAGCAUAAAAGACAUGAGAAGUGGAUAAUAUCCCAUAAUUGCUGGGUUGCCUUCUCCUCCUUGGCGCGGACUGAAAUGGAAAACCAUUCCGGAUUCAUCAAAUCUUGUGUAUUUCAUAACUUUAGUUGUAGAAGUCAGAUUAACGAACCGUUUCGGCCUUCAUGAUCUUGAGGAUGAGCUCUAUGACUUGAGGUAAAUUAUCCCCAAAUUUAUUUACAUCUAUUUUACAUAGUUUUCCCAAGUGAUCUGUUGAGCUCUACGAUAUGCAUGCAACUAUAUGAAUAUUUUGAUAUCUAUAAUGUAGCAACAUUUAAGAGCAAAAUAGAAGCGGCUUUGUAAUUUCGAAAUAUAUUGCAAUAAUAUUACACAACACACACCACCCUUUCAGCCUUCAUGCUCCACAUGUUCAUCUAUGCUCAUUUCAGUAUUGGGAUCGGACCUCAAUCGUUUGGGAGGUCGAUCCUCAUCAGACGAGCCAUGGCUUGGUCCUGCAUCGCCGUCGGCAAGCGCUCUCUUCGACUUAAUGUCUGCCUGAGCAUUGUCCUCGCCAAGAACAUUAGCAUCCUCAUUGGAGCCAGAAGCAUAUUGUAUCUUCUUAUCAUUGAUAACUUUGUCCCACACUAGACUGACCCCUGUUUUCUUCACACUAAAUUGGGGUCCAAAAUCUACGAUAACCUCAACUUCAUCACAGCCCUCCAAAUUGAACACAUUGUUGGAUAGAUUUCCCUGCCAAAGAUGAUCUUCAUGAGAUGCUACCACGUCUAUUGCAACCGGCCUCGAGGUACGCAUUGUGCCCUUGGUAUAGUUUAUAACUGAGAUGCUAGUAAGAUCUUGAGAUACUAUGUUGUCGAGACAUGAAGAAUAAACAAUGCACACAAUCAACUCCUUCAAAUUACAACCAAUAUUUUGAGGCACUUCAAAAAAGACUGAGGCGCCCUCAUCAACAUAGGGGAACCACUCAGGAAUAUUAUUUCCAGGGAGAAAAAUGCCACCAAAUCCACUCACAGUCCAUCCCUAUACAGGCAGAGUAAGAUUUGUAUAAGCAAACAAUGCAUAUUUUUGUAUGUUAUGAGAGAGAGAGAGAGAGAGAGAGAGAGAGAGAGAGAGAGAGAGAGAGAGAGAACCUGCAGGAUGUUCUCUUUAAGAGCAUCAGUGAUAUUGCUGCAGCCUUCCAUUCGAAUGAAUCUCAAGGACUUUAACAACUUAACCAAGCCUGGAAUCUCGAUGAGUUUGCUGCAGUUUGUCAGACUCAAAGUAUCCAUAUUUGAGAUUUCUGAUAAAUUUGGUAUUCUUUCCAGUGAAGUGCAGUUUCUCGCUUCCAGGGAUUUCAAAUUGUUUGGUAACUCUGGGAUUGCAUUAAGGUUUGCACAAUAAUCCAAUAUUAGCCUUCGAAGCUUGGAAAGGCCAUUGAGGCUUGAUGGCAGGCUACGAAAACUAUUGCUUUGUAGAUUUAAUUCUUGUAAAGAAAAUAAACUCCCAAGAUCCUUAGGAAUUGCAUCAUCAGUUAAAUUGCAGUCUUCAAGAGAUAAUCUUUGUAAAGAGGUUAAGCCUCGUAAUGAUGGGGGCAAUAGAUUAGUUGGUUUAGUAAUUUUCCUAGGCAAUACCCAAGACCAGAAAAGAGAGGGCAAUGAGUUAGAUGGUGAUGCUUUCAAACCACACAGGGAUAAAUAUUUCAGGUUCGUCAGUCGUAAUAUUGUAGAAGGUACUUUUCUUAUGGCUGUGUUGUCUGCAAGAAGAGUUGUCAAUGAUACCAUUUUCCCUAAAUCAUCAUCCAAGUUUGCAAAUUUUGAACAGCCAGAAAGAUCAAGAGUUUCAAUAGAUUUCAACUCAUAGAAACUCCUUGGAAGAUCCUUGAGCAUUUUGCAAUCUUUCAAAUUUACCACAAGAAGUCUUUCAAGAUGUCCAAUAGACGGGUGCACCUCGAACAAACUCUUACAGUCUUUGAGCAUCAGUUUCUCAAGAUUUGGAAGUUUCGAAAAGUCUGGCGAGCGUUGUAGGUAAUGAGAGUGACUGAGAUUAAGAAUCUUCAACUUGUCUAGCAACUGUUAGACAGAAGGGAAGAUAGAAAUCAAAAUUUAAAUAGAACAUGAAGAAAAUGUACAAAACCAAAGGAAAUCUUUACUCAUACAUACCCCAGGAUCCUUCCAAACGUGCGUGAGGUUGCUAUAACGCAGGUCUAUAGCAACUAGUUUCUGUUGGUGAAAGCUGUUUGGUAUGAACUUUAGAGGGAGACCAUGCCAACAUAGCCAUCUUAACUCUUUGGUAAGAUAUUCGUAGCUUCCAGUGAGUUGUACGUAAUUGAGUUGGAGCAAUCUCAGUCUCUGCAUAUUUGCAAAUGCUUUUGUACUGAAACUUACAUCAUCAGAUCUUAGCAAAUUCAGUGUUACUCCUUCAAUUUCUUCAGUCCCCUGUACAUAAAAAUAAAAAAGUAAACAAAGGAGUUAUUUCCAUGUGAGAUGAUUUAUAUUCAUGAAUCCAUGAUCACAAGCUGAACAAGAUUUAUAUCCUCUGAACAAGAAAGCAUGUGAAAGAUGAUAAAUUGUUAGAUGUGGGAAGCAUGUGCUUCUGUUGUAUAACGUGCAUUUAAUUUAGCAAAGAAUUUGAUUGAGAAAGUUCUUACACAGUGUUUUGCUAAUACAUCUUUUAUGUCUUCUUUAUGCCACAAUCUACUGCAUUUUCCAGGUUCAUUGGGGGAUUUUUCACGGACAACUUCUCUUCCCAUGUCUCGAAGCAAAUCAUGCAUCGUGAGCUUGUUUCUUUCACUAACAGUUACAAGGCAUCGUUGAAGGAGAACACUGAUUUCUAUUUCUGCAAAAAAGC